rnacentral:rRNA from 1 species
UACGUAGGGUGCGAGCGUUGCCCGGAUUUAUUGGGCGUAAAGGGCGCGUAGGCGGCCACGCACGUCCGUUGUGAAAUCGCCCGGCUCAACUGGGCGGGGUCAGCGGAUACGGUGUGGCUAGAGCAAGCUAGGGGGCAAUGGAAUUCCCGGUGUAGUGGUGGAAUGCGUAGAUAUCGGGAGGAACACCAGUGGCGAAGGCGGUUGCCUGGAGCUUUGCUGACGCUGAUGCGCGAAAGCAUGGGGAGCGAUCCGG